CCUACGGGGGGCAGCAGUGGGGAAUUUUGGACAAUGGGCGAAAGCCUGAUCCAGCAAUGCCGCGUGAGUGAAGAAGGCCUUCGGGUUGUAAAGCUCUUUUGUUUGGGAAGAAAUCCCUAAGGAUAAUACCCUUGGGGGAUGACGGUACCAAAAGAAUAAGCACCGGCUAACUACGUGCCAGCAGCCGCGGUAAUACGUAGGGUGCUAGCGUGAAUCGGAAUGACCGGGCGUAAUGUGUGCAGAGGCGGGUGAAAUCCCCGAGCUCAACUUGGGAACUGCACUUGUGACUGCAAGACUAGAGUGUGUCAGAGGGAGGUAGAAUUCCACGUGUAGCAGUGAAAUGCGUAGAUAUGUGGAGGAAUACCAGUGGCGAAGGCGGCCUCCUGGGAUAACACUGACGCUCAUGUACGAAAGCGUGGGGAGCAAACAGGAUUAGAUACCCCAGUAGUC
rnacentral:rRNA from 1 species